UUGAAUUUUGCUGACCUUGCACCAGAAGGAUCUCACCAUAACGGGCUUCGGGUGUGGUGUGUGGCUCUGCCAAGUCAAAGGACUUUGAGGAAGACCCAUAGACUUUAUGGGCUACUGGAGACUUAGAAACUUCCAGAGCACAGCAGGCUGUUUGCAUUUCCUUCAGCAGAAUGUAUGGUUCCCAUCUCAUCCAGCAUAACUAAGGCGCUGGAGAGACCAAGUAAAAUGAAACACCAUAGCUGCCCUCCAGGAAUCCAGGGUGGAGGCAGAGAGUCAACAAGCCACAGUGGUGGACUGAAGACCAGAGGACCAUGGGCACUCCCU